UACGAAGGGGGCUAGCGUUGCUCGGAAUCACUGGGCGUAAAGGGUGCGUAGGCGGGUCUUUUAAGUCAGGGGUGAAAUCCUGGAGCUCAACUCCAGAACUGCCUUUGAUACUGAGGAUCUUGAGUUCGGGAGAGGUGAGUGGAACUGCGAGUGUAGAGGUGAAAUUCGUAGAUAUUAGCUAGAACACCAGUGGCGAAGGCGGCCAACUGGUCCGGUACUGACGCUGAGGUGCGAAAGCGUGGGGAGCAAACAGG
rnacentral:rRNA from 1 species